rnacentral:rRNA from 1 species
GACGAACGCUAGCGGCGUGCUUAACACAUGCAAGUCGAACGGAAAGGCUCUGCUGUUGUGUGUUGCUGGAGUGGGUAACGCAUGAGUAACAAGUGAGUAACCUGCCCUCCUCUUUGGGAUAACUUCACUAACCUGGGGCUAAUACCCGAUAGAUGCUCCUGCCGCAUGGUGGGUGUUGUAAAGUUUCGAUGGUUGGGGAGGGACUCGCGGCUUAUCAGCUUGUUGGUGGGGUAGGGGAUCACCAUGGCUUUGACGGGUAGCCGGCCUGAGAGGGUGACCGGCCAAAUUGGGACUGAGAUACGGGCCGGAGUCGUACGGGAGGCAGGAGUGGGGACUAAUGCCCGAUGGGCGGAAGCCGGAUGCAGCAUGACCGCGUGAGGGAUGAUGGCCUUCGGGUUGCAAACCGCUUUCGCCUGUACCGAAGUGUAGGUGAAGGUAAUGGGUAAAGAAGCACCGGCUAACUACGUG